rnacentral:rRNA from 1 species
UGGGGAAUAUUGGACAAUGGGCGCAAGCCUGAUCCAGCCAUGCUGCGUGGGUGCUGAAGGCCCUAGGGUUGUAAAGCCCUUUCAGCGGGGAAGAUAAUGACGGAACCCGCAGAAGAAGCCCCGGCUAACUUCGUGCCAGCAGCCGCGGAAAUACGAAGGGGGCUAGCGUUGCCCGGAAUUACUGGGCGUAAAGCGCACGUAGGCGGAUUGUUAAGUCGGGGGUGAAAUCCUGGAGCUCAACUCCAGAACUGCCUUCGAUACUGGCGAUCUCGAGUUCGGGAGGGGUGAGUGGAACUGCGAGUGUAGAGGUGAAAUUCGUAGAUAUUCGCAAGAACACCAGUGGCGAAGGCGGCUCACUGGCCCGAUACUGACGCUGAGGUGCGAAAGCGUGGGGAGCAAACAGG